rnacentral:lncRNA from 1 species
UCGUCUCCACCACCAAACAAGGAAGCAAAUCCCCCCCACGAACCCUAGCGAGAGCUCCUCCCCCUCCUCCUCGGAACCCUAACCUAACCCUAGUCCUCGCCACCGCGACUCCCCCCCCCACGCGCCCGCGGUGCGCGUGCGCGUGUGCGCGUGGCGGUGCGCCGAGGGGGAAGGGGAUGGACGGGCCCAAGCGGUCGCAGCUGCGGGUGCGGCUCCGCGUGAC